AAUGUUGAACUACCUUUAAGACCAAACCCAAAACUUGUUUCCUUUUUAAUACAGGCCAUAUCUACCUGAAUGAGGUGGCACUUAAAAUCUAGGGUCAGUUAGUUUCUGUAAUCAUCAGACAUCUAGACUCAUGGUAUCGUGUAAUAAAGUGAUACAGCAAGAAGAGACUUUAGAUGUCACCUAUUCUAGUCACCUCCCUUUAUAGUUGAGUAAAAAAUUUUCCUAGAGUUAAAUUUAAAUGGCUAACAUAAGCAUUUGGAGGGUUCAGAGUAGAUAUAAUUAGACUUCAGUCUCCUAACCUGUAAUCCAGAAUUCCUUCCUGUGUAACAGUCUUCCUGCAACUAUAAAGUGCCUUGUCUUUUUAGGUACUUUUUCAUGAGUUCAUGUGUAAUUUUCUCUACUUGAGGCCAAGAAUCUUGUUUUAAACCUUUUUGUAGUCCCCUUAAUGUUUUGCAUAUAAUAGGCCGUAACUGAAUCUUUAUUUUAUGGAGAAUUACUUUCAGAUAAAAUUAAUAUUUUAAAUAAGGUUAUUAUUUCCAUUUUUAUGAAUAUUAAUGACCAAGGAUUAUAUUGCUUUUAUUUAAAAAUGGAAGUAGAGUUUUUCAUAGUACUUGGAAGUUUGCAUCUAUUUCUGAUAUGUUUAACAAACAAAAAAUUGUAGGAAAAAAACAAGAUAUAAUUGAAAAAUUCUCUGCCUCUCUUUUAUUGCUAGGUAGAUGGGUUUCACUUUUUAUAAUAUUAAGAACAUUGAUUUAAGUACAAAACUAGAAAUUUUAUCAACAUUUCUUCAUUGCUUUAAUGUUUCCAAUUUCUAAGAAACUGUUUUAUACGAAGUAAUUUUCUAGCAAAUUGUAUUAAGGGUAAUAAAUAUGUUGUUUUGUUGUCUUAGUUACUGAGCCAUUACUGAACACUACGUAGUACAGUCUUUUCAGUUUUAAAGUUUUAUGAAUAUAUUUGAUUUAAUGCAUGUAAGUAAAGCAACAAGAAUUACAGCAGAUAUAUAUACUUUAAAAUUCUUUUCAACUCAGCAUAAAUAAAAUGGUACAUUAGUGGGAAGCUUAAAUACCUAUCAUGUGAAUAAAGCAUGGGCUUCAUGCUUAUAGUUGGGGAUAUAUGUAUCAUUUGCUUUAGAUGGCUUACAGAGGUGAUAUCAAGGUGAAAGCAGGCUUGCAGAAUGGUUGGAAAUCAUUGAUAUUCUGACUUGGAGGCUGUAAAUGGCUCAGUGGCAGAUGGAGUCUUUGUCAAGGAAGAAAAAUGGCAGCUUUGGAGCAUCAUAGAUGUUUUGCUAGCAGCUCAGCACACAGGCUGUGACCUUCUAGUAUUCGGGAGUCUUUCUUAUGCUCUAAUAAAUUGUCCUCAGCUUUUAUUCACCCAAAGUAGAUAAACAGUACUUAUCAUAUUUCAGUACAAAUUGCGGUGUUUAAUUAUAGAGAGACAUAAAUAUGUUUUAUUAUCUGGUUUUUAAAGAAGUAAGCUUUUAAGGAAACAUGGAUUUCUUGUAUCAAAAAUAUUUCUCAGUUAUUUUACAAGAGUGAAAACAAUAGAGUUUAACUGGGAAAAAUUAAUUUUAUAGAAUCAGAGAAUACUAAAGCUAGGAAGUAUAUUAGAAAUCCUAGGCAAACUCUCAUUUUACAGAUUAAGCAACCGAGUCUCAGAGACUGUGAUUUUAACCAAGGUAAACAAAUUAGUUCCUGAAAAACACUAGGUAACUGUUAGAUUAUUUCUUGUUACACAUAUAAAAUACAUUUAGUUAUAAAGGUAAAGGAAACUAUUCUCUUUGAAUAAAACUUAGAACACCACAACACAUACCUACUUAUAACAGCUGCAUAAGGGUAGAUAAUUUUAGAGACUUUUAUUUAAUAUUCAAUUGCACAUAUUUUUAUUGAAAAGAAUUCAAGUUAUUUUAGUCUGUUACCAUUAGAUUACAGUUUAGAAAAAUUUUUGUUGAAUGGAGAGUUUAUGCCUGAGUUAUAAAGUUAUAUAUGCAUGAACUUUCUUCUUAGUCCUUAAUAAAAACAUAUUUAAAUAAUAUUUUGUUUAAAUCAGAACCAAUUUAAGUAUAUAUUUUGUGUUGACUUAUUUGAGUAUUUUUAAAAGUCUAUUUAUUUAGAAAUGUUGCAUUUCAUAUUAGAAUAUAUUAUAUUAAAUAUUCAACUAUUUGAAGGGUUUUAUAGUGAGAUAUUUUGAAAAAUUGUUGCAUGUGUCUGUGAGAAUUUCUUCUCGUUUUUAGUGGAAUAUGUCUCCAUCAUGAGAGUAUAUUUUCACAUAGAGUAUGUUCGGUUGACCAGCUGACUUCUGUUAAAUAAGGUGUAACAUGAUUCAAAUUGGAAGUGGAAGCAUUACACACCUAAACCUACUAAUGCAUUUGACAAUUGCUAAGGUUAUAGGAAGGAAUCCCUGUACAUCACAGAAGAAAAGGAUCCUUUGCUUUAGAGGGUCAAGGUUACUACAUUCAGCGCUUCUAGUUGUAGUCUUUUUGUAAGCCAGUAUCUAAAGAAACAUAGUUCAAGAGAAAUUUAACAGUAAUUCCUGUGCAUUUUCUAAAGAUAAAAUUAUCCAGCAAUUUUACAAUUUUAUCAAUUUUAUUGAUUAGGAGAAAAAUUUGAAAGGUUAGUGCUGAAACCUUCCAGAAUCUUGGAGUAAGUUUUUGAUUUUGUUUGUUUGUAAGUUUUAUUUGGAUAAAACUGGUCAGACCUUAAUAGAUAGAAUAUGGGCAUGAUAAAUAUUAAUUGUUAACAUCAUAAAGGAGAAUACUAUUCCUUUAAUGGUUAUGUUGAUAUGUAGCUAUUUCAUCAAUUACCUACUUUAUUAUUUUAUUUAUUACUAUUUUUAAAAUAUUUUAUUUAUUCAAGAAAGAGAGCAAGCACGAGCAGUGGAGGGCGGCUGAGGGAGAAGGAGAAGCAGACUCCCCACUGAGUGCGAGGCCUGAGGUGGGGCUGGAUCCCAGGAGCCUGAGAUCAUGACCAGAGCUGAAGGCAGACACUUAACCCACUGAGCCACCCAGGUGCCCCUACUAUUACAAUUUUUUAAAAAUAACAUGGGGCUUGAACUCACAACCUUGAUAUCGAGUCACAUGCUCUACUGACUGAGCCAGGCAGGUGCCCCCCUUUAUUUACCUGAAUAUGAAGUAAAUAACAUCAGAUAGAAGUGAUGGUUAUUAAAUUAUUGAACAACUAAUUGAGCUUAGUAUAUACAAGUUUUGUUCACUAACAAAACAGACUUUGCACUCAUGGGGCUUACAGCCUGUGAGCAAAAGGGAGAAUACUUAAUAAAUUGAUAUUUAAUAUGUUAGAUGGCGGGACACCUGGAUGGCUCAGUGUUUGCCUGCCUUUGGCUCAGGGCAUGAUCCUGGAAUCCCAGAAGUCCCACAUCAGGCUCCCUGCAUGGAGCCUGCUUCUCCCUCUGCCUGUGUCUCUGCCUCUCUCUGUGUGUAUUUCUCAUGAAGAAAUAAAUAAAAUCUUAAUAUGUUAGAUGGCAAUGAACACUGAAGAGAAAUAAAGCAAAUUAAGGGUUAUGAGUGCAAGGGUUGUGGAAUUAGUAUUUGUUACAGAGUGGUCAGUGAAGGUCUGUUUAAUAAAAUGACAUUUUAACAGAGAACUUAAGAAAAUGGGAAGAGCAAGUCUUGUGUAUAUCUGAGUGAGGACUAUCCCAAGGAAGGCAGUAAAUGCAAAGACAUUGAGGAAGACUAUGCUUGGCAUAUUUGAAGAAAAAUAAGGAAACCAUGAUGACUGAAGUGGUAUGAGCAAUGGAGAGUCGUAGUAAAUGAAGUUGUAGAAAUUCACAUAAACUUACAUUUAAGACUUAGUUCUUUUCUUUUAAGACAAGAUUUAAAAAAAAAAAAAAUUAUGUUCUAAGCUUAACCAAAGCCCACAUUGUUGCUAAACUGGUAGUCCCCAAAGUAGUCUCAUUAGAGCAUUGGUUGCAUGGAGUGAGUAUUGCAUGAAAAAAAAAAAUCCCAUGGUCAGAUAAGUUUAGGAAAUAUAGGGUUAAUGUUAAACAAAAUGACAAAAUUUGUUUAACAACAACUGUUGUGUGUAUCUUUUAAUGUGCUAAUUAAGUUUUGUGAAUCUCUAACUUGCUCGACUCUUCCUUGAAAGAGCCUCUUAUGGGACUAGUGUUUUUCUUUACUGUGGUAAAUACUGUGUUAUCCAAUACUAUAGGUUAACUAAAGAUUAAUAAAAGGAUUUUCUUCAAGUGCUAUUUCAUAGCUUCUCUAUUCACUUUAAGCCAACACCUUUCCCUGCCUGCUUUUUCAGUUAAGACUACAUGUCUUUUUUUUUCUUUAAAUAUUUCUCAAAUCCAUCCUUUCUUUUCUAUUCAUAAUGCCUAAAUCUUUAUGUAGGUUUGCAUCAUGCCUUACUUGGGCUGUCACUGUAGCCUCCCAACUGGUGGCUCUGCCCCUAGUCUUGCUGUGUCCAAAUUCAUCAUCCUCUCAGUGACAAUUUAAUUGACAUCACAAAUCUAACUAGAUUAUUCACCUACUUAAAAUAAUUUACUAGCUUCCCAUCACAGAAUAAUUUUUUUUCACACAGAAGAAAAUUUAAUUUCAUUUGCAUGGCAUGUGAAAUGUUCCAUAAUCUGUCUCUUGCCUACACCCAAAAUUUGUCCUAAAUCUCCCCACACUUAGGACUUUCUAACUAUAAGGCCAUGUAUAUUUCCUUAAGCACACAGUAAGUAUAUAUUCUUUUGCCUUUUUGUUCAGUCUAUUAUCUCUUCCUGGCACAACCUCCCUUCUGUGAGUAGCCUAAUUUUUCUACUUUUAAAGGUUUAGAACAGAUGUUAUUUUCCCCAAGAAUACUCUUUUUCCUCCUUCCACCUAAUAAUACUCUUAAGUUCUUCCUGGCUAAAUCAGGUGCACUGAUGUAUAAUUCUGUCCAAGCACUUAAAAGAAUAAAAUAAAAAUCUGUGUUUUAUCCACUCUCUCGAUUCUAUGCCUUGUAUCUAUCUUAGGUGCUUAUACUUUAAGUGGAUACCAAAUAAAUAUUGAAAUUAACUCUACUAAAUAGUUGAAGACCUUCUGAUAAAUAGAUUUAUCAAUUUCUCCUUUCUCUAGCUUAAAAUUGGUUUGGAUUGUAAAAUUAAAUAUAUAAAACUUUUAGAAGGAAACAUAAGGGAAAAUCUGUGGGACCAAACUUGAAAGAGUUCUUAUACAUGACACAAAAAGCAUAAUCCGUGAAAGAAAAUAUCAGUGCAGAUCAGUAAAUUGGGCUUUAUAAAAAUUAAAACCUUUCAUUUUGCAAA
rnacentral:lncRNA from 1 species